GAUGAACGCUGGCGGCGUGCCUAAUACAUGCAAGUCGAGCGAACAGGCGAGGAGCUUGCUCCUCUGACGUUAGCGGCGGACGGGUGAGUAACACGUGGAUAACCUACCUAUAAGACUGGGAUAACUUCGGGAAACCGGAGCUAAUACCGGAUAAUAUAUUGAACCGCAUGGUUCAAUAGUGAAAGACGGUUUUGCUGUCACUUAUAGAUGCAUCCGGGCCGCAUUAGCUAGUUGGUAAGGUAACGGCUUACCAAGGCAACGAUGCGUAGCCGACGUGAGAGGGUGAUCGGCCACACUGGGACUGAGACACGGUCCAGACUCCUACGGGAGGCAGCAGUAGGGAAUCUUCCGCAAUGGGCGAAAGCCUGACGGAGCAACGCCGCGUGAGUGAUGAAGGUCUUCGGAUCGUAAAACUCUGUUAUUAGGGAAGAACAAAUGUGUAAGUAACUAUGCACGUCUUGACGGUACCUAAUCAGAAAGCCACGGCUAACUACGUG
rnacentral:rRNA from 1 species